GCCAUCUGGCUGUUCUAAGCUGUGGCCCCAUGCUGUAUGAUUUUCUCUUAAAAUCUCUUCCGCUGAAGCCCCGCUCUUAUUGAAUUCAUCAAAAGCAAACUUUCCCCGAGUUUUUUUGUGUUUUUUUUAAAAGAAGGAGGCUAAAAUAAUAAGUCGACCACUGUGACAUUCUCUAGGCUUAGACCAUUUUUCAUAACGCAGCUGAUAGUCUUUUGUGAGGCGGAGGAGACUAAACAGAUGAAUAACGAGGAAAGUCUCCCGGAAGGGAGGAGAGAGGAGAGAGAGAGACAGACAGAGAGAAACCCCAUACAGCUCCCCCCCUCCAACUAAAGCUGCUUUUUCUAAUCUUUAAAAAGUUAACUGAAAUGAGAGGUGCGUGUUAAAAAAAAAAAAAAGCCCCCAGCGCCACCAAGGAGCGAGCAAAACACUGGUUGUGUCCCGACUGGAAACAACUUUGCACUGGCUCGCUUCGCUCCCCAAACUUUUUUUUUUUAAAGCUUAUGAGACGACCCAGGUGGCGGGGCGAAGCCGGGGCCUGGGCCAUCUCAGAGAAACAGCCGCAGCCUGCUUGGAGACCCCAGCUGCUCUGAUGACUAUUUUUUCCUCCUUUCCAAACUUGCAGCAAGUCACACACUCUCUCCAUAUCUCUCUGCAUUUUUAUUUAUAUUCCCCCCCCCGGUCCUCCUCCUUGUAGUAAUCCUUAUUGACUCUAGGGCCAGGAAGCAGGAAGUGUCUGCAAGAGGAAGGAGGAAAUCGGGGUGGGGGUUGGUGGUGUUUGUUUUUGAUGGACACAUGGGGAUGGAGUUUUCUUCUUGAAGUUUUUCAAAAGGAUGGAUUUGAAAGAGCGAGCAAACCUGGGCUUAAGCAAAGCAAGAUUUAUCACCCUUUUGAGGGGGAGAAAAAGGGAAACCCUGGUCAGCAUUGCCAUCAGAACAUCUCAAAACUUCAAGAAGACCUCCAUCUGAGCCCCAUAUUUGCUCCGCUGUGCUCAUGCAGAGCUCCUGGUUCUGCCCAGAUUUCACAUUGGAGAGCCUGUUCCCCUAACAAACUGUUAGAUGGGCAUGAUGACAUCUUUCAUCUAUAAAGGGGAAACAAGCAAGAUACCCCCACCCCCCACUCCAGUGCAUUGUGGCCCAGCUGAAGAGACUUGCUUACAGGAGAGGAUCCAAGAACAGUUCAUCACACUAUCAGUGGCACCCAUCAAAAAAGAGGAGGGCAGGUCUUUUCUAAGAUGACCGAGCAAGAGAAAGAGAGAGAACCAGAACAUAAGUGAGAAAAUAAGAAGGCUUCAAACCGGGGAUAAAACAUGCUAUUUGUCCAACUACAACAGAUGGGCUCAGUCAAGGAAACCAAUGGCAAGGAAGAGACUUCAGUAUUGUAGUUUGGGAAAAACUGCAACAUACUAGGCUGAACCAGAAGUCAGAAAAUGCAUUAAAUAAAUAGUUUUUAUAAUUAUGCUUUGUAUUAUACCAGCUGUUAGGUUCUGUGAAGAGACAUGAAUUGGGCCUCUGUGUGCUAGAUUCUACAGGCAAAAUGCAAUAGCUUUAGUUAAAGAAUCUAUUUAAAUGUUACCAAGAGCUCCCCAUAGCCAAAGAAUGUUUGGCUUCUAUAAGAUGCAACUAAAAUACCCAUCAAUUGGAAUAUGUAAGGAGGUAGUCUAUUUAUACACCAAUUCUUCUAGCUGCACUAGAUACAGCCAGCCUUGUUUGUUAUGCUCCUGGACCUCACCUCUGAUUCAAGGUGAUCCACCCUUCAGGCAGUAUACAGAGCUUAGUGGCAUGUUCCCUCAAGCCACUCUUGAAAACAGCCCAGAUAAGGGCGACAGAAACUGAGAUGGGUCCAUGUCCAUUGUUCAAAUUCUUAUCACUGAAAUUUCACAUUGACACGGUGGAACUGAAUAGAAAUAUUACAAAUGGCUGCUCGGUUUAGUUAUGGGUAAACUGACCCUACUAUAAUUCAUAAUCUCCUUUCCAAAUUACAAAUCCAAUGCUAUAAACUCAGCUGUAGGCUCUCUGUUGUUAUGCGAUUUCAGAGUAUCGUCACAUUUUUGUACCAAACAUCUUGCAAAUUUGACGUGCAUUCAAGGCAACAAAGUUUUGUGUCACAACACAUCCAAAUGACCAAGAGGACUAAUGGUGGGUUAUAUCUGGGUGGAUGAGGAGCUGUGGAGGGACUGCUUAGAGGAGUAAUGUUGCUAGAGGUCUUGUUUGCCCUGUGAAAUUGAUCAAUAAACCAUUAAUAAACACAA